CGGUGGCUUUCCAGGGCCCCUGGGCACUGUAGCUCCCAUCCCCAAGAACUCCUCCAUCAUGCGCCAUCCGCACGGGAACUCACCGGUCUGAGGAGCAUGGCAGAGAUGCCUACGCAGGUCCAGCUGCUCUGCUAAAGGCCUGCGCUGCAGUGCUCGCGCUGCUGCCUUUAGCCUUGGAUUUGGUCACUCUUGCUCUCAUUUUUUCCCUUUUAAUUUUGCCAGCUUUGUCUUAUCCAGAAACCAAAGAGCGGAUGCCUGUAUUCCCUACCGUGAAUCUGGCCAAACUUCUCCAACCGGAUUAACCAAAAAGGAAUUUUUGUUUUGCUGUGUUGCUUGAUCCCUUAGAUAUCAGGUGUUCCAUCUGACCUACUUGAAUCAUUAAUAGCUGCUCCCAGAUUUUUAAUAUUGUGUUUUAUCAUUCACAUAUUACCUCCUAGAGUGCCACUGUCAACCCUGAUAAAGUUAUGUUGAAUCAUUUUUCAAAAAGGAACGUUCUUGAGUUAAUGUUUACCAACACUGAUGAAAGCUUAGGCUUCCUUAUUUUUAAUAGUUUAUACAUGAUCCUCAUUACGUGUACAAGGCACACUUCAGAACAUUCCAAUCUAAAAAUUAUUGCUGUUUUCCUGUAUGUUCAUAUUAUUUAGAUAUGGCAACAUUUUCCCAUGUAUAUGUACAUGUAUUUACAGCACACCAUCUGUAAAGAACCUGCUUGGUUUUUACUGAAGUGAUUUUCUAUGAAACUGCAAAAAUUUGUAGUGGAUAAUUUUUCUAUCAUAGCAUCAUAUCAAGGAAGAUGGCUUCAAUUAAAAUAUUCACUCCACAUUUGACGGUGCUGAUCUAAAACUUGGUAAGAUUAAGCCACCGCCCCCCUUGAUUCUCUGUACUCCGUUCGCGGCCUUGGGCUAACUCUCUUUGAUCACUGACACGGCUACCACCUAAGGUUCUCUCCGUCAUUUUUUGCAUUCGGCCCCUGCAUCAUCGUUGCCUUCGCCAACACCAUCAUAACCACUGGCGUCCUAGGUCAUCAACAGCGUAACCCCGUUGGUGGACUUCCUCAGUACCAUUACCAGCAACAAGUGGACGAGGGCUUGCUCUGAAAACACCAAAUAUUUGCAACAACUGAAGAAAUUCAACAAGUGGCCAAGAACUUGCUCUGAUAACACCAAAUAUUCGCAUCAACUGAAGAAACUGUGACGUGAACAGACAAUUCCAUUUCAAGUUCUAGAUCCACAUGAGCAUCAAAGCACUCCUAUCCAAGAUAUCACAACAAAUUUACCACCUUCACCUUCUGAUGAAAUAGCUAGACACAAGGACAAGAUCCACAUGAGCAUCAAAGCACUCCUAUCCAAGAUAUCACAACAAAUUUACCACCUUCACCUUCUGAUGAAAUAGCUAGACACAAGGACAAGAACUUUGGAAAGGAGAAGAAUAGAUAAGGUAGCAAGGAGAGCAGGAGAUCUGAGCAACCA